UCAUUAUUUAUAUUUCCAAGCUUUAAAAAUGUCCGACUGCAAAAUUUGUGACCCAUCUCUUUCUCCCUAGGUUUUCUUUUCCAUUGAGAUCUUGCUUAUACCCGUAGACCAAAAAAAAUACAUUCAUACAUACAUAUAUAUACAUAUACAGUUGUACAAAUAGUAUUGUUUCUAUACAUAGAUUGGUUUCUUUUGUGUGUGUGUUGACAAUUAUAAGUUUUGUUGUGUUGUAUCGUAUCAAUCUGAAUUUUCCGGGAAAGUUGUGAAUUUCGCUAGUGGAGAGAGAGUUUUGGAUAAGGAUGCAGGGAAAUUUGGGAGCAUGAGGUUUUCUCGAGGAAAUAAUGAGGGGAGCUUCGUUGUGGGCCGACGACGCUGAUGCUCCAUCGACCUCCACGCCGCCGAUUCUUCAUGCGGUUCCGGGCAGGCACAGAGUUGGCAAUAUAUUUGAACUGUUAGCUCGAAGAGAGAUUUCUCCUCAUACAAAACAUUUUUCAAAGAGGUUAUGGGGAGAAGCUGCUAAGUGCCAACUUGAUUCUAAGCCAAGGUGUGAAGUGGCUAGGAAUUCUAAACAUAGUCUUGUCUCAUGGGUGGAGUCAGAGUCCCUAAGACAUUUGUCUGCCAAAUAUUGUCCACUUUUGCCUCCUCCAAGAUCAACCAUAGCUGCAGCCUUCAGCCCUGAUGGGAAGACGCUUGCCUCUACCCACGGGGAUCAUACGGUAAAGAUUAUUGACUGCCAAACUGGUAGCUGCUUGAAGGUUCUGAGUGGUCAUCGCAGGACACCUUGGGUGGUUAGGUUCCAUCCAUUGUAUCCCGACCUACUUGCUAGUGGAAGUUUGGAUCAUGAAGUUCGUUUAUGGGAUGCAAAUACUGCAGAGUGUAUAGGAUCCCGCGAUUUCUACCGUCCUAUUGCUUCCAUAGCUUUCCAUGCCAAAGGGGAGCUUCUUGCUGUAGCAUCUGGUCACAAGCUUUACAUAUGGCACUACAAUAGAAGAGGGGAGAAUUCUUCUCCAUCAAUAAUACUCAGGACACGACGUUCUCUUCGGGCUGUGCAUUUCCAUCCACAUGCUGCUCCUUUCCUUUUGACAGCCGAGGUCAAUGAUCUUGAUUCAUCAGAUUCCUCAAUGACGCUUGCAACUUCUGCAGGCUACUCACGCUAUCCUCCACCUACUGUGUACUUAGCAGAUGCUCAAUCUACCGAGCAUUCUAAUUUUGCAGAUGGAGUGCCCCUUACAUCAUUACCAUUUAUGAUAUGGCCUUCAUUUGGCAGGGAUAAUGGGAGACUAUCCAUGCAACAGACUUAUACUGAUGAUUCAAGCAGCAUCCAGCAGAGAGUUGACCCCUCUGCUUCAGUGCGGCUUUUAACAUAUUCAACUCCAUCAGGACAGUAUGAACUUCUGCUGUCCCCUGUUGAACCUAAUGACUCUUCUCCAGUCCCAGAAGAAAUAGGAACUAAUCCUAUGUCGAGUGAAAUGGAGGCUGAACUUUCUCAGUCUGCCAAUGAUACUUUAGAGCCUAUGGAAGUGCAACCUGAGGCAAGAACAAAUCCAAUAUUCCCUUUUGGUGACCCAACAUAUUGGGAAUUACCUUUCUUGCAAGGGUGGUUAAUGGGUCAGAACCAAGCUGGUCAACGCAAUAUGAGGUCUCUCAAUAGUGCUGUUCCUGAUAAUUCUUCUACACACAUUGAGAUGGGAACUCCACUUUUUCCCUCAGUAAUCCCAACCAGUGUUGGCCAAUCUAGAGUUUUAGGACGAUCUGGUUCAAGAAAUCGUGCUUCUCGUUCUCGUGCGAUAUCAAUGACUGGUGCUAGUGAAGGUGCUAGUUUGAAUAAUAACAUGCAUGAUGAAAGUGAUCCUCAACCUAUUGUUAAUAGAAUUCAAACUGAACUUGCCACCUCACUUGCUGCAGCAGCAGCUGCUGAGUUACCAUGCACAGUGAAACUUAGAAUAUGGCCUCAUGAUAUUAGACAUCCAUGCGUGCCGCUUGAUGCAGAAAGAUGUCGUUUAAGCAUUCCCCAUGCUGUACUUUGUAGUGAAAUGGGUGCCCAUUUUUCACCUUGUGGGAGAUUUUUAGCAGCCUGUGUUGCAUGUGUGCUUCCCCAUUUGGAAGCUGAUCCUGGCUCACAGAACCAGGCCAACCAUGAUGUCACUGGGAUUGCAACUUCCCCAACUCGUCACCCUCUUUCAGCACAUCAGGUUAUCUAUGAGCUUCGGAUAUAUUCUCUUGAGGAGGCAACAUUUGGUUUGGUGCUUGCUGCACGGGCCAUAAGAGCUGCUCAUUGUUUAACAUCUAUUCAAUUCUCUCCUACAUCUGAGCAUUUAUUGCUUGCCUAUGGUCGCCGCCAUAAUUCACUCCUUAAAAGUGUUGUAAUUGACGGAGAGGCAACGGUUCCCAUUUACACCAUUCUGGAGAUCUACAGGGUUUCUGAUAUGGAACUUGUAAGAGUUCUUCCCAGUGCGGAGGAUGAGGUCAAUGUUGCUUGUUUUCAUCCAUCUGCUGGAGGUGGGCUUGUUUAUGGAACUAAGGAAGGAAAGUUGAGGAUCCUUCAGUAUGAUCGUUCCCAAAACACAAGUCUUGCAACAUGUGUAUUUCUUGAUGAAAACAUGCUUGAGGUCCCUACUUAUGCUUUGGAGUGCUAGAAGCUGUGCUAUCCACUUGUGGAUGAUGCUGCUCGGUUUAGCUGGUUUGUUUCUAUUCAUGUUUAAAGCAUUGGGAACCUGUGUCCAGUGAGUCUUUUUAUCUUACUGGGCAGGUCACCUUCGUUAGUUGCAAAAGGAAAUACAUUUCUCAAGCUACGCUGGGAAGCUGUCUAGAAAGCAACUACAAAGGUUCUCAAAUUGUCCUGUGCACUUGUGCAUUUCUUGGAUGAGGCCCAAUGAGCCAUUCUUACAUGUUGCUGAAUACCACCAGCAUUUUUCUCUGAUCAUAGUGAACCCUGUACCAGUCUGUUGUUUCCUUGUUCUUCGAUGAUAUAUCGCGAUAUGUGCAAUACAAGUCGGUGACUCCCUUGAUGGUUUCUUUCAGUUAAAAGAAGGAAAAAAAUAAAGAAAAAAAAAAUCUCUUGUUGGCUCAUAGAAGUAUAUACAUUAGGAAGUUGAUCUUAAAUUGGAGUGAAGUGGGAUCAGUCAGUUGAAGCAAAAGAUGGUUUAAAGGUGUUGAUCCUUCAGUUUUCUGUUCAAGAUUGUUGAUAUGUAAUUCAUCCCUUUUUGUUUUCAGAAAUGUAAUUAGUUUUGUUUCUGUUUGUAUACAAAUGAGCAGACAGAAAGGAUUAAAAACAAGAAUGUUCUUUCCUCUUUUUUUUUUUUUUUUUUGAUUAGGUUAUGUUUAUAAGAACUUGGGUUUGGGUUAAUUUUGCUGCAAAUUUGAAGAAAAAAAAAUCAAACACCUUAAACAUAUUUGUACUAAUACAAGUUAGUAUGGAUGAUUGUCAAUUAAUGUUUUAGUAUUUUUCUUUUU